GGGGAAUAUUGGACAAUGGGCGCAAGCCUGAUCCAGCCAUGCCGCGUGAGUGAUGAAGGCCUUAGGGUUGUAAAGCUCUUUCACCGGUGAAGAUAAUGACGGUAACCGGAGAAGAAGCCCCGGCUAACUUCGUGCCAGCAGCCGCGGUAAUACGAAGGGGGCUAGCGUUGUUCGGAAUUACUGGGCGUAAAGCGCACGUAGGCGGACAUUUAAGUCAGGGGUGAAAUCCCGGGGCUCAACCUCGGAACUGCCUUUGAUACUGGGUGUCUAGAGUAUGGAAGAGGUAAGUGGAAUUGCGAGUGUAGAGGUGAAAUUCGUAGAUAUUCGCAGGAACACCAGUGGCGAAGGCGGCUUACUGGUCCAUUACUGACGCUGAGAUGCGAAAGCGUGGGGAGCAAAC
rnacentral:rRNA from 1 species